rnacentral:rRNA from 1 species
UGUUAAAUUAGUCUUCGUCACUUUUGAGAAGUAAAACAAUGUCUGGUGAUGAUGGC